rnacentral:rRNA from 1 species
UACAGAGGUGGCAAGCGUUAUUCGGAAUUAUUGGGCGUAAAGGGCGCGUAGGCGGCUGGGCAAGUCCAAGGUGAAAUCCCUCGGCUCAACUGAGGAACUGCCUUGGAAACUGCCCGGCUUGAGGCCGGGAGAGGGUAGUGGAAUUCCCAGUGUAGCGGUGAAAUGCGUAGAUAUUGGGAGGAACACCGGUGGCGAAGGCGGCUACCUGGACCGGUUCUGACGCUGAGGCGCGAAAGCGUGGGGAGCAAACAGG